rnacentral:misc_RNA from 1 species
GAUGAAAACGCAGCGAAAUGCGAUAAGUAGUGUGAAUUGCAGAAUUCAGUGAAUCAUCGAAUCUUUGAACGCACAUUGCGCCUCCUGGUAUUCCGGGAGGCAUGCCUGUUCGAGCGUCAUUAAAAUCACUCAAGCUUAGGUUUACCUAUUGCUUGGUCUUGGAGAUGGAAGCCAAUUCAUUGGAAUCCUCUUCGAAAUCCAAUGGCGAAGACCCUUGCUCUCCCAAGUGUAGUAAUAACUUAUGUCACUGAAGGAAGCGAGAAAUCUUCCGCCGUAACCCCCAUAUUUUCUAUGAUUGACCUCGGAUCAGGUAGGGAUACCCGCUGAACUUAAGCAUAUCAAUAAGCGGAGGA